AUCACAUCAAGACACAAACUGUUGGGCGACACAGACGUCUCCCUUUCAUCCCUUGGGGACAUGGAACAAUAGACCGACACUCCCCCAAAUCACCCACCCAUUUCAUCCCAAACCCAACACAAUUUGGGUUCUUUCUGAACAAAUAUAUAUCAAGGGUCUUUCAACUAGGGUUUGAAUGGACCCAGCAGCCGUGGAUAGGAUCAUCGAACGGUUGAUCGAAGUUCGAUCGAACAAGCCCGGGAAGUUGGUUCAGCUGUCAGAGGCUGAAAUCAAGCAGCUUUGUGUUGCUUCUCGUGACAUCUUUAUCAAACAACCCAAUUUGCUUGAACUUGAAGCCCCUAUCAAGAUUUGUGGUGAUAUACAUGGACAAUACAGCGAUUUAUUAAGACUUUUCGAAUACGGCGGUUUUCCUCCGCAAGCCAAUUAUCUCUUUCUGGGUGAUUACGUGGACCGAGGCAAGCAAAGUUUAGAAACAAUAUGUCUACUUCUCGCUUACAAAAUUCGGUACCCCGAAAACUUUUUCCUUCUACGAGGAAACCAUGAAUGCGCAUCCAUAAACCGAAUCUACGGAUUUUACGAUGAAUGUAAAAGACGGUUUAACGUAAAGUUAUGGAAAGCUUUUACCGAGUGUUUCAACUGUCUACCCGUUGCCGCUCUUAUCGAUGACAAGAUACUGUGCAUGCAUGGAGGGUUAUCACCCGAUCUAUCGGAUUUGGAUCAAAUCAGAAAUUUGGCCCGGCCCACUGCGAUUCCCGAUACGGGCCUGCUUUGUGAUUUAUUGUGGUCGGAUCCUAGUAAAGAGGUGAAAGGAUGGGGGAUGAAUGAUAGAGGGGUGUCGUUUACUUUUGGGCCCGAUAAGGUGUCGGAGUUUCUAACAAAGCAUGAUCUUGAUCUUGUUUGCCGGGCUCACCAGGUACAAACCAGACAAGGUGACCCCCGGCAAGGGUGACCUCUCCGACGAGUCUCUCCGCAAGUCUCUUCUCUAUAUUACACGCCUUCCGUCACUGGUUUUCUCCGGAAUUCCGGCGACUCCUUUGUGUUAGAACCAGCGAGCUUUUCAGGCUUCACGCUCACAGAGGCUCCCUUGCUUCAGAACCGGCGAGUUCACGUCGACGAACUCCCUUACUUCAGAACCAGGGAGCUCUCAUCGCCCUUGCUUUUCAGAUCUUCGGUAACCGGAGCUUUCCGGCAACGUCACGCGACAUAUAUCCAGGUGCACUCGAUUCAAUAUAUAACUAUACAUAUACCUACUUUACAUAUAUUUUUUUUCUGCUCUUUCCGGCAAAGGUAAACACCUCUCUAUCCCGUUUCUGCUCUUUCCGGUCGGAAGUGCCGUACCUAAACCUAAAUCACCGCCUCCAGCCACUUACAAAACAACCAGUCACCGUGACUGUCCCUAAACCUUCACACCCACACUAAAAACACCUAAAAAAAAACCACCACCGGCCUCACCUCCGUUCCCAACAGUCAACCGCCAUCAACAUCUCUCUCUCACUCCCCCCUCCCCUUCUCUCUCUCGGCCAACAGAUUCUUCGGGCUGUGUUGUUUGGAACGUUGUUGCAGGUUCCGAUCUAUUUCCACCGGUGGCUCAAAGGAUUCCGGCAGACUUAACGAGGUUGUGGAGGAUGGUUAUGAAUUCUUUGCAGACAGACAACUUGUUACCAUAUUUUCAGCCCCGAAUUAUUGUGGUGAAUUUGAUAAUGCAGGUGCGAUGAUGAGUGUCGAUGAAAAUUUAAUGUGUUCGUUUCAAAU